GUGAAUCAUCGAAUCUUUGAACGCAAAUUGCGCUUCCUGGUAUCCCGGGAAGUAUGCCUGUUUGAGGGUCAGUAUUAACAAAAAAUCGGUUUGGUUGCCAAUUGUGACGUUUCCGGAGUUUGGGCUAUCUUAACUUUUUUGGUUUAGGGGCUUAACAUUUACCUUUUUUGCGCAUUUUUAGUCGUACAUAAAUUUUUUUUUUAUUCGUUUUUUAUACUUUCC
rnacentral:misc_RNA from 1 species